rnacentral:rRNA from 1 species
GCGGCCCCAAGUCAGGCGAGGCCACCGCCGAG